GAUGGGAAACAGGUUAAUAUUCCUGUACUUGGUGUUACUGCGAAGGGGGGACGGAGAAGGCUAGGCUAGCCGGGCGACGGUUGUCCCGGUUUAAGCGUGUAGGGGGUGUGACCUGGUAAAUCCGGUUGCAUAUCAACCCUGAGGCGUGAUGACGAUGCACUACGGUGCAGAAGUAGUUGAUGCCCUGCUUCCAGGAAAAGCCUCUAAGCUCCAGGUAACAUUAAAUCGUACCCCAAACCGACACAGGUGGUCAGGUAGAGAAUACCAAGGCGCUUGAGAGAACUCGGGUGAAGGAACUAGGCAAAAUGGUGCCGUAACUUCGGGAGAAGGCACGCUGGCAUGUAGGUGAA
rnacentral:rRNA from 2 species